AUGCGCCCCAACAUCAUCACGGAGGCUGGGGUUUCAACUAGGCUGAACCAGUGGUGGAGCAGCACCCCGUUCAUUACUUCUGGCGUUACCAUAAUAUGUGCGGCGAUAUAUCUGGUAUGCUUGUUGGUUGGAUAUGACUCCUAUGCCGAGAUAUGCUUCUUGCCUUCUGCAGUGGUCUCACAUUUUCAAGUGUAUAGGUUCUACACAUCUGUUCUGUUUCACGGCUCUUUGCUUCAUGUGCUAUUCAACAUGCUGACCUUUGUACCCUUGGGGACCGAGUUGGAGAGAAUUAUGGGAUCAGUCCGUCUCUUGUUCCUGAUGUUCCUUCUUGCAACGACUAAUGCAAUUUUCCAUCUCAUCGUUGCCUUCUUGGUGGCUUAUAAUCCUUUAUACCAUGUCUCAUAUCUUGUGGAUGAAUGUUCGAUUGGUUUUUCUGGAGUUAUAUUCUCAAUGAUAGUCAUUGAGACAAGCCUGAGUGGAGUGCAAUAUCGAAGUGUCUUCGGUCUCUUCAAUGUCCCUGCAAAAUGGUAUGCAUGGAUUUUGCUGAUACUGUUUCAGUUUCUCGCUAGUAAUGUUUCAUUACUGGGGCACCUCUCUGGCAUCUUGUCUGGAUUUGCAUACACUUAUGGGCUGUUCAACUACUUGCUGCCUGGACCUUCAUUUUACUCUUCUAUUGAAGGCUUGUCCAUGCUAUCUGUUUGUGUUAGGCGUCCUGGCUUUAUUCUCUGUACUGGAGGAACAACAUACGGCCAGCUUCCUACACAUUCUAACAUGUCCACUCCACCCAGCGCUCUGAUAAAUGCAAAUUUCUUGAGAAAUAUUUCGUCAUGGAUGCCAAGUAGGCGGACAUCCACUGUUCAGACGUCUACUGGUCAGGAACAAGAAGACCCGAGAUUUCCAGGGAGAGGGCGGACGCUUGCUUCUACAGGAACUGAACCAACUACAAGGGAGGCCAAUGCAAAUUUGCAUGCUAGGUUGUUGGAUAACUCAACCCCAAGCGACCUUCUAACAAAUUCACAGCAUACAGCAGCAAACGCUGUCAGAGCUGAUGCAACAGUAACAGCUGACGAGACUGAUACAUUUGAUGAAGAGCUUAAGAAGCUGGUUGCGAUGGGCUUUGAAAGGACUCAGGCUGAAGUUGCUCUUGCCGCUGCCGACGGAGAUCCAAAUGUUGCCAUUGAGAUUCUCAUGAGCCAGCAGGAUUAG
rnacentral:rRNA from 1 species